AACGAACGCUGGCGGCAUGCCUAACACAUGCAAGUCGAACGAGACCUUCGGGUCUAGUGGCGCACGGGUGCGUAACGCGUGGGAAUCUGCCCUUUGGUUCGGAAUAACAGUUGGAAGCGACUGCUAAUACCGGAUGAUGACGAAAGUCCAAAGAUUUAUCGCCAGAGGAUGAGCCCGCGUAGGAUUAGCUAGUUGGUGUGGUAAAGGCGCACCAAGGCGACGAUCCUUAGCUGGUCUGAGAGGAUGAUCAGCCACACUGGGACUGAGACACGGCCCAGACUCCUACGGGAGGCAGCAGUGGGGAAUAUUGGACAAUGGGCGAAAGCCUGAUCCAGCAAUGCCGCGUGAGUGAUGAAGGCCUUAGGGUUGUAAAGCUCUUUUACCCGGGAUGAUAAUGACAGUACCGGGAGAAUAAGCUCCGGCUAACUCCGUGCCAGCCGCCGCGGUAA
rnacentral:rRNA from 1 species